rnacentral:rRNA from 1 species
UCAAAAAUUUUAAACUUUUGCAUUUAAAUUUUAUCUUAAUCCAACAUCGAGGUCGCAAACUCUUUUUCUUAUUUGUACUAAAAAAAAAAAUUACGCUGUUAUCCCUAAGGUAAUUGAUUCUUUUAAUCAUAAAUUAUGGAUCAUAAUUUCAUAAAUUAAUGUUAAAUUUUAAAAAAAGUUUAUUUAAUUUUUCUAUCACCCCAAUAAAAUAAUUAAUUAAUUUUAAAUUUAAUUUAUAUAUAAAAUUUUUAAAUUAAAUAAUUAUAAAACUCUAUAGGGUCUUCUCGUCUUUUAUAAUUAUUUUAGCUUUUUAACUAAAAAAUUAAAUUUUAUUUUUAAAAAAGAGACAGUUUAUAUUUCAUCAAAUCAUUCAUACAAGUCUUCAAUUAAAAGACUAUUGAUUAUGCUACCUUUGUACAGUCAAUAUACUGCAGCCCUU